UCAUGUUUCCCAGCUGAGGAACAGGCUGGAGCAUGAGAGGAGUACAGAGCCAUUACAACCGUUUAGAUGGGCUUCUCGUUUCAACAGGGUCACACUAUCUUCUCCGGAAAGCCCACUUUCCAUGCCAAGCAACAGGAGAGGUUUUGAAGGCCAGGGAUUUGUUUCUCUUCCUUGUUACCCUUCCCACCCAGGUUGUCACACCAUACAAGAGGAAUAAAGAAUACACUGAGAAAUACUGAAUAGACCAAAAGUCUGACAAAUAACCAAGCAUUUUCAUAAAAAGAAAGAGUUUGGUAAUUGUCAAUUUACUCUGGUUUUGCUUCCAGUUGGUUCCCUUUUCAGCUGAUUAGCGCAAGUGACUAUUGAGAGCAUGGAAGCAUCUCAGGGUUGAAGAGACAGGAGUCCCAUUUUCCACUUCCUGCCCUCUUGGGUAACUCUGCUUCCUCCUGAGCAAAGAGUUAAUGAAGACAUUGUUGCUUUUUUUUUUUUUUUUUUUGCAAAUAAGGAAAGGCAGACACUGAAUGUUUAUUAUUCAGUAUGAACAUAGAGGCAAAACUAGGAGAAAAAACAGAUAUGAGGUUUCCAGAACUAUGGAAUUUUAGGCAUAUUAUAUUAUCAGUUAUCAUUUAUUGAGUACUUACUAUGGACCAGCCACUGCAUUAAGCAUUUUACAUAGUCUAUUACAUAGUUUAAUUUUAAAUUUUUAUUUAUUUACUUAUUAGAGUCCCACUCUCACCCAGGCUGGAGUGCAGUGGCAUGAAAUAAUAGCUCACUGCAACCUCAAACUCCUGGGCUCAGGUAAUCCCCCUGCCUCAGUCUCCCAAGCAGCUGGGAAUAUAGGUGUGUGCCACCACACCUGGCUAAAGUUUAUUACAUAGUUUAUUAGUCUUGACAACAGCCCUAUGACAUAGGUACAAUUAUUAUCCCCAUUUUACAGAUGAAGAAACUGAGGCUUACAGAGGUUAGGUAACUUUAACCAAGCCUAAACAGCUAGUAAGUGGUGGAAGUGAUUCAAAUCUAAGACUGUGUUACUAAAAGAGCUGUGUUCUCAAUCACUCUGCCACACGGUACAAGAGAGGUGUUAGCUAGAAUGCCUUCAGGGGCAUAAUAAUAAUUAUAGUUAAUGCUGUUGUGGAAGGCUUAUUAUAUGGUAGACCCUAUUCUAAACACUCACCUAUGUCAACUUUAGGCUCUGCAUCUCACACUCUAUAAAGAAGGUGCUAUUAUUGGGCGCAUUUUACAGUAAGGAAAGUGAGGCACAGAGAGGUCUUAAGUUCACGGAACUAAUGAAUGGUGGAGCAGGGCUACAAAUUCAGGCACUCUGACUCCAAAGAUCAUCCUCUUAGCUGCUAAGCUAUGUUAAGGUAAAAUGUUCGUUUCUGUGUGAGGAAGCCCAGUCCACUUCGAGAGUCAGCUUUCUUUGUUAGAAAGUUGUGCCUGCAGCUCUAAUAGACUUCUCAGAAGCAAACAGAAGGGUUCAAGAGUCCAGCUGACAGCAGAGGCUCUUGCUCAAUCCUUUCCCAGAAUGCUUGUCUCCAUUACCCUUUAACCUGCAUCUUUGAACAAAUUGAUAUAUGGGGAGUUCAGCAAUGGCAGAUCUCAGCUGUGCCUUUAAUGUUUGAUAUGUCUGCUAGCACACCAUGUUUUUCAUUGGAUCUAAAGGAGAUCUAAUGAGAGAUCAUUUCCUAGUAACACAUUGUCUGCUUUCAACAUCACUAGGAAAGCACUUUGCUGCAAACAAUCCCUAUGUUGGUUUAAUUGCCUUUGAAAAGGGGCACAAGAGGGAGCAUCAACUCUUCAGAGUUUGGGUCUGAUUUCCUGAGGUGUUCCAUUUCAGAAGAGGCCCCUGACAACAGGCAGAGAAUAAAAACAAGUGUGGUCUAGGGCAGACAGUGUUUUUCAAACAGUUGGCCAAAUCUCUCCUGGCAGCCGGGAAGCAGCUGAAUCAUCAAACACUAGGCCUCUAACGAGAUGGAGGCUGGGCUGUAUUGAAGUGCAUUCCAGACUGACUGUGAAACCCAGAGCUGCUGCUGCUUUCCCAAUGCUGGCUCCCUUCCAAGGGGCUGGCCCAGCUGAGCUGCUUGUCAAAGCUUCAUUUUGUCUCUUCUCUCUCUUUUUUUCCUCCUCUUUGUGAUUUCCCAUGUAGCAUUUGCCUGCCCUUGGAUAGAAUAUUUGGAUGAAUUUUGGGGUCACCUCAGGUACAGCCUCUGCUCUGCAAGCUAAAGUUCAUGAACUGUGUUUACCUGUUGGAAAGUCAGAAUGGCAGAGGGGAAAGGCACUAAGCUAGAGCACUCGGGGAAUGGACAAGUGGACAGACAUUCUUUUCUGAGAGGCAGGAAUGACCUAGACAUUCCGAAAUUGAAAGCCAGAUGUUGGGAUAAAACUCUAGACUCAAUUUGAAUCGUAGGAGUGUUGACAACCUUGAUGAAAUCCUAUGACUAAAACUUUCUAGAGUAGAGGGGAAUUAAUGGGGCCUAAGUAGGGUAACCCACCUUGAAAAUAACCAGAUCCCUCUAUUUAUAUCAGAAACAAAUGUUUGGACUCUUUAAGUGCCAUGGUCUGAAUGUUUGUGUCUCCCCCAAAAUUCAUAUAUUGAAACCUAAUCCCCAACGUGGUGGUAAUUGAAGGCAGAGCCUUUAGGUGGUAAUUAGGUCAUGAGGGCAGAGCCCUCAUGAAUGGGAUUAGUGCCCUUAUAAAAGAGGGCAGAGGGAGCUUGUUUGGCCCUUCAGCCAUGUGAAGACGCAGCAAGAAAGUGCCAUCCAUGAAGCAGAGAGUGAGACCCCAUCAGACACUGAGUCUGCUGAUGCCUUGAUCUGGGACUUCCCAGCCUUCAGAACUAUCUGGCACAUUUCAGAAGUUGCUGACGUGUUGAUGCCUGCUAAAACACAACGUGGGAAGAAGAAUGAAUGUGGGCAAGCUCGGCUAGCCACUCAGAGGGAAAUGAUCUCAUUUCUCCUGCUGGGCAACCCCCAGUUGCUGCUACUCAGUCCUUCUUGAAGUCCAUUUUCGUAAACACUUUGCUGAUCAAGAAGUGUCUGAAGAUGGGAAGACGGAGAAAGCUUGUAUUGUUUACUGAGUAUCAGAGGACACUUCCUUCAAGUGACCUAAGGCAUGUGUGAGUGCUAUCCUACGAGCCACAUUCUAAAGGAGUGAAGUCAUCACGAACACUGCCUUAGAAGAGUGAGUUAGUGCCAAAGACUAUCCUCAACAGCAUUUACAGACUCACUUUUCUAAAAAUCCAGAGAUUUUUUUUAACAUAUAAAUCAAGAAUGAACAAGGCAAAUGUUCAGCAAUUCACUUCCAUGCAUUACUCCCCUUCUCCUUGGAACUCAAUUUCUUAGCCAGGUUGCUUUUUGGGGCUAAAAGAAAGGAAAACAGAGAUGGAGACAGACAGGGCCAAGAAGCCAAUAAAGAGAUGAGCUGCACAAAGCUAUAAUAAUCAGUAAACCUAAGCAGGAAAAAGCUGAGAGGAAGGAAAGUUACUUAAAAUCAGAGAAUGCGGGGAGGGAGAAAAAUUGCUUAAAAUUAGUUUACAGAAAAAGAAAAUUAAUCUCCAUUUUACUGUUGAAUGACCUUUAGUCUGGAAUUAGAAUUCUAUAAAGUCUAAACAAAGAGCCACAUUUAAUUCCCUGGGAAACUCCAAUUUUAACUUGGCUUUAAUAAUAAAAAUUUUUGUGUGCAAAUUCCGAAAGCAGCACACACAAAGAAAUUAAAGAAUACAAAAACCUGUCCUAGGUAAUCAUGGAAAUCUUACGUAAAGAGAAAAUGAAAAUCUUUUCAUGCAAUUGCACUUUACUCGAAAAUUCUACUAAUCCUGACCUUUCAGGUUUUGUGAAGUGCCAAAUGCAAAUUAAAUGAAAAUGAAAUCACAAUACAUUGGAUUUUAGAGAAAGGAAAUGGCUAAUCAUGAAUGCUUUUUUUUUUGGCAAGAACUGUUCAGGUGAAUAUUAUGCUUAGUAAUUGUUCAGGCAAGAAAGUGGGUAGAAAUAAGCUUUCUCUCCUACCAUGAGGCUGGAUGCAUGCUUUGUUCUCUGAGGGAAAGAUCUCUACACAUUGAAUAAAGGCGAAGUACUUACACUGGA